rnacentral:rRNA from 1 species
GAUGAACGCUGGCGGCGCGCUUAACACAUGCAAGUCGAACGAUUAAAGCACCUUCGGGUGUGUAUAAAGUGGCGAACGGCUGAGUAACACGUGGGCAACCUACCCCCCUCAUCGGGAUAGCCUCGGGAAACCGUGGAUAAUACCGAAUACUCCGAUUUUCUCGCAUGGGAUUUUCGGGAAAGCUCCGGCGGAGAGGGAUGGGCCCGCGGCCUGUUAGCUUGUUGGUGGGGUAACGGCCUACCAAGGCUAUUAUGGGUAGCCGGGUUGAGAGACCGACCGGCCAGAUUGGGACUGAGACACGGCCCAGACUCC